CAAUAGCGUAUAUUUAAGUUGUUGCAGUUAAAAAGCUCGUAGUUGGAUUUCGGGUGGGACGCAGCGGUCUCGCAUUGCGUUUGUACUGCUGCAGCCCUCCUUCUUGCCGGGGGCGGCCUCUCGGACUUCACUGUCUGGGGGUCAGAAUCGGCGAUGUUACUUUGAGUAAAUUAGAGUGUUCAAAGCAAGCUUACGCUCUGAAUAUAAUAGCAUGGGAUAACACGACAAGACUCUGGCCUAUCGUGUUGGUCUAUAGGACCAGAGUAAUGAUUAAGAGGGACAGUCGGGGGCAUUCGUAUUCCGUUGUCAGAGGUGAAAUUCUUGGAUUUACGGAAGACGAACAUCUGCGAAAGCAUUUGCCAAGGAUGUUUUCAUUGA
rnacentral:rRNA from 1 species